rnacentral:rRNA from 1 species
UACAGAGGUGGCAAGCGUUGCUCGGUAUCACUGGGCUUAAAGGGCGCGUAGGCGGUGCGGUACGGUUUCGGUGAAAUCCCUCGGCCCAACCGAGGAACAGCCGGAGCUACGGCCGGACUAGACGGCAUCAGGGGACAGUGGAACUCCAGGUGGAGCGGUGAAAUGCGUAGAUAUCUGGAGGAACGCCGGUGGCGAAAGCGACUGUCUGGGGUGCCUGUGACGCUGAGGCGCGAAAGCCAGGGGAUCAAACGGG